GAAAGAGGAGUGGCGGACGGGUGAGUAACACGUGGGUAACCUACCCAUCAGAGGGGGAUAACACUUGGAAACAGGUGCUAAUACCGCAUAACAGUUUAUGCCGCAUGGCAUAAGAGUGAAAGGCGCUUUCGGGUGUCGCUGAUGGAUGGACCCGCGGUGCAUUAGCUAGUUGGUGAGGUAACGGCUCACCAAGGCCACGAUGCAUAGCCGACCUGAGAGGGUGAUCGGCCACACUGGGACUGAGACACGGCCCAGACUCCUACGGGAGGCAGCAGUAGGGAAUCUUCGGCAAUGGACGAAAGUCUGACCGAGCAACGCCGCGUGAGUGAAGAAGGUUUUCGGAUCGUAAAACUCUGUUGUUAGAGAAGAACAAGGACGUUAGUAACUGAACGUCCCCUGACGGUAUCUAACCAGAAAGCCACGGCUAACUACGUGCCAGCAGCCGCGGUAAUACGUAGGUGGCAAGCGUUGUCCGGAUUUAUUGGGCGUAAAGCGAGCGCAGGCGGUUUCUUAAGUCUGAUGUGAAAGCCCCCGGCUCAACCGGGG
rnacentral:rRNA from 1 species